AGGGGAAGGAAUUCUGUCACUGCCUUCUAUGUGGGUGGCGUAGACCACUGUGUGCCGCCUCUUCCAUGGACGCAGCAGCUGCUCCGACCCCGCUGCCGACGCCAUGGAGAUCGUCAAGAUUGCAUUCCUCAGGAAGAUACUCCUUUCGUCCGUCAAACCUACCGGACAUGAUGGAAAAUCUCCAUCGCGCACGACACCGGUCAUUUUCUCUUGCCAAGCGGUGCUGCAGAAGUUGACGCAGUUUGGGCUUGAAGAUGCACUGGAUGGCGCCGUCGUC